UACGGAGGGUGCAAGCGUUAUCCGGAUUCACUGGGUUUAAAGGGAGCGCAGGCGGAUUUGUAAGUCAGUGGUGAAAGGCUUAAGCUUAACUUGGGAACUGCCAUUGAUACUAUAAGUCUUGAAUGUUGUUGAGGUUUGCUGGAAGUGGUCGAUGUAGCGGUGAAAUGCAUAGAUAUGACCCGGAACACCUAUUGCGAAGGCAGCAGGCUAAACAAAUAUUGACGCUGAGGCUCGAAAGCGUGGGGAUCAAACAGG
rnacentral:rRNA from 1 species